UCCAUUUGUGAAUUAUCUCCCAACGUUCCAUUCAAAUUACCCAAUGAGAUAAGCUGGGAAUUCCAAGUUACUUGAAGAGCUGCCGCUGAUAAAUUUAUGAAGUGAUCUUUUCUCUGGGUGUAGGUGGGUAAGGAAACCCCGAACGUGAGCUUUUUGCUGAUUAACUCACGAAGAUCGGUGAUGGGAUUGAGAGCAGAUACGGCGAUGGGGGAUACCUGGAUCUUAUCAACCCAAAUCCAACGUAGGCGGGAUCCACUGUACGACGCUGUGAGGGAAACACUUGGGACUUCGAUAAAAACCGGCAGGCCGAAAUGGUCAGCAGUAGUAAAUAACUUCAGAUAGACGGACUCGCAGACCCAGACACAGUAAAAGCACUUUAUGAACUUAUCCGAACCGGCCGUGAGUGGACACUUUCCACGCUGAUUAGGAGAAAUCACCCCGAAAUGACCAAUCAAUUGAAAAGGAAACGAAAACAGAACCGCAGACAAAACCAAUUAGGAGUCGAUUAAUCGCUGGGGCAAUUCAUCUUUGGCCACCAACUCUGACGCAGAGUUCUCCUCCUCCUCCGCUCCGGCUCCAAGUUCGAUAUCGCAAUCGUUUUAUAUCCAAGACAUCGUCGUGCAGCCGACGAGUCAGACGAUCCAAUAGUCCAAUAAUGCGGCAAUCAAGGCUUCCUUUGAUCGAUUGCAUUGAAUCACGGGAAUUGGAUUGGAUAUCGACAUUAUUGGGGGGAUCGCAAAACCAUAUCGAGCUAGCAGGAUGAUGACUUCAACUUCCUUAUCGCGGCCAUCAUCACGUCAAUCCAGCUUUUCGGAUAAGAGCCCGUGACACGGGUAAGUACAUAAAUUAUAAAAUUAGUUGGCACGUUUAGCCGGGCGGGUCCAUAAAAGUGGCGAUAUCACUUCCUAGGAUAACGAUCCAGCUGAAAGAAAAGGUCCCGACUAACAAACAUCAUCAACACGGUUUUGUUCCUUUUCAAUAAUAUUUUAUUUUAAUGUACUUGCAUUAUAUUUAGUUAAUAACUAGAUUUGUAAAUUAUUCUCACUUGAAUGCGUCUAUAAAUUAAAUCUUAUUCGUAACUCACGUCUCUCAGCAUUACUAGAUAAGAAAAAAAAUAGAAGUACCACACACAUACGAUGAUCUUUGAGGGAGGACUCUUCACUUCACCUUCACGUCUCUUCUCUUCCCGCUAACGACUAAGAUUAGUUUCAAUAUGUGCUCUACAUCAUGUCUGUCGUGUUUGCAUUAUCUCUAUGUCUGUAAAUCAGUUAUCAGUUAAUCAGUUUAUCAACAAUUGUACAAGUGACAAAUCUACAAUGAAUUCGAUAAAGCACCGAGCACGUUGACAACUCUGGCGCAUGCAAAUUGAAAUCUCCUACUCCCUCAUCGAGAUGAAUGCCUUAUUUAAAAGUAAGCAAUAAUAUGUAUUUAGUUUUCCAUAGGCUAAAAUGUAGUUCUCUUCCGACCGAAUCGAAUUUCCAAAGGCAUUAAACGACAUUAAAAACGAGGAUCCAUUAAACGAAUUUGCACUACAGUGUGGAGGGCAGCGGCCACUCCAAAAGUUGUUUUAGUUUAGGAUAACAAUUAGAAUGAAGUUGCUUUAAUUAUCAAGAAGGAUCUAAAAACAAAUAGCAAAAAAAGAGGUAAUCAUAAUAAUAAUAAUAAUAAUAAUGGUUUAAUGAUAGCGUUAACUAUAAUAAUUGUAGGCUACCGUUGAAGAAGAAAAACACUCCAAGUCUUUCAAGUUGACCAAAUAGAUGAAUAUUGUGUGGAUCAUCACUUGUACAUUACAUUAUCUAAGUAAUUUAAUUAUGACGAUGACGACAUGAGAACGAUGAAGACGACUAUUAAGCUGAAUUGUGAUUGAACCUGAAAACUCUUUGUUUUUUGAAACGAUUUAUAAAUGUUUAUAGUAAUUCCGUUGCUGCCGAUCAAUGUAAAUGUAAAUGUAAAAUACAAUUGAAAUAAAACUCUAUUUUUCAUACACAACAAAAUAAAUAUGAUUAACAUGGUUGGUUUCUUUGAUGGUUUAUUAGUGUGUUAUUUUGUUAUUGUGUUAUUAUCGAUGUGUUGUUGAUGUUGUUGUUGUGGCUGCCCUACACUUAGAACAAUUCUAGCUAAAAUUGCUGCUAGGCUAGACACCCAGAAUUGGUAGCUUAAGCGAUAAGUUUGCAACAAUUCGCUUGCUUCUUUUUCCUCUUGCAUAUACAAAAGAAGUUUGAAAGAAAGGCAUUUAGAGGUUUUCACUCCUUCUUUUCAAUAGGCUAGUUUUGGUAGCAACAAUCAUUGUUUCUCAUUUGUUUUUUGCAUUUCUUUGUCUGUCAAAAUGGAUUUUAUAUACAAUGGGUUUGUUUGGGGGAAAAAGUAUCCAUUUCUGUUUUUGCUUUUUUUUUUUUACUGUGUUUGUUGUUUUGCUUGUUAUGUUUGUUAUGUUUAAUGUUGGUUUGUUGUCUAACAAUGGCACACACGCAUAUAUAAUUAUUAAGAAUUCGCAUUUAAAUGGUUUCUUUUUCUUUGUUAGGCAUUCUGUGGCUUUAGUGCGGGUGUGAGUUGGGUUGGGUUGGGAAUUUAGAAUACGUUUUUUGAAUACAGUUCGAAUACAAAUCAACAAAAAAUUUAUAA
rnacentral:sRNA from 1 species